GUCCAUCUUUUAGACCUGUUAACCACCGAGGCCCCCGGGACAGGGCCUCUUCCCUUCUCUCGAGUGUACUUCCACUCCCACUUUGCUGCAGAAGUGUCGGGCUUUCCUAUCCUGUGUGGUGGAGACGGUCAGCCAUCCAGCGAAGGCCAUGCUCUCCUCCAGGCCAUAGAGAGGUCCGUGUGCAGCUGCCUGACGAGAACUGCAUUCCCCAGCCCCAGCGGCGUCAGGGAGCACCUCACCGUGUGUUCUCGCCCAGGGCAGUGGAGACAAGCCAUUGGGAGUGCUCUCUCCAUGGCCUCUUCCUGCCGCCACCUGCACAUAGAAGCUGAGUGGACCAACCAGGAGCAAGCUGGGGUCCCCGGGUGACCAAGGACAAGGAGAAGUUGCCUGCGAUGUGGGAAGACUGGGCCUUUUCAUGAGGGAACAACACCUAUCCUGGUGGUGACGAGAAUUUUGCCAUCCUCUAAGCAGACUUCAGUGAGGUGCACUGUCCCAAAUGAUGAUACACCUGCAGAGGAGACGCAGCACGCAGAGUGGAAAGUGUGUGUGUUCCUGGGGCCACCCCUAUUCACUCACAGUGGUUAACCUGCACUAACAAGCACUGCCAGAGGUUCAGCCACCUUUUCUAACCUGAGACUCUGGGUGACAUAACUCCUGAUAGGUGAUAGCUCUUUGUAACAAUCACCAGCACCUUGCCCAGCCAAGGGCCCGGAAGCAAGAAAAAAACAACCAAAACACCAUGUCACAGCCAGGAGAGCCUUGCACGCUUCACACACAGCUCAACAAGCCUGGGUUUCCGGUGUCUCAACUCCUGCAGAAAUGAAGCCUCAAGUCAGGAAGGGUGAGGAGGGGCACGGACAAGGCCCAACGGCAGCAGGAUGGCGCAGAAAGCCUGAGGGACACAAAACCUUCUAGGCCUAGUCGUAGGCAGUGGGGCAGCACCGUGGAGCCACGUGGUAGAGGGAUAGCCGCCCUGUGUGUCCAGGGCAAGGUGGCACAGCAUGCCUGGACCGCUGAGAAGGAAGGACUUCCCUCAAGAAUGUGUCUUGCGCCGGGUGCAGGGGCUCACGCCUGUAAUCCCAGCACUUCAGGAGGCCAGGGUGGGUGGAUCGCCUGAGCCCAGGAGUUUGAGACCAACCUGGACAACAUAGUGAGACCAUCUCUACAAACAUAAAAAUAAAUUAGCUAGGCAUGGUGGCACAUGCCCGGGGUCUCAGUUACUGCAGAGGCUGAGGCAGGAGAAUCACUUAAACCCAGGAGUUCAAGGCUGCGGUGAGCUGAGAUCACACCACUGCACUCCAGCCUGGAUGACAGAACAAGACCCUGUCUUAAAAAACAGACAGACAACAAAAGAAUGUGUCUCUGAAAAAGGCCCACGUCUGUGGCUGUUAAACAGAGCAGCUCGUCUCCUGAGGCUGGAGCGAUGGAGCUGGAAGGGCCUCACAGCUGUCCGGGCCAGGCUCCUUGCUGCACAGGUGGGAUCUGCUGGCUCCAGAGAGUUCUUCAGACCCUGCAAGAGGGAUCUGAGAAGAGGGACCAGGCCCCCCGGUUCCCAGGCCCUGACUCUCCCACUGUUUGUCCUUCCCUGAUCAGAGCAGAUAAACAUCACCGUACCAUAGAUGGGACUUCUAGAAAUUCCCCACACAGGACUGGGUUAAUUCUAAGGUAUUGCUUUAGCUCUGUGAAGAAAAUGUAGUCAAUUUGUAAAAUUGAAGUCAAUUUGUAAAAUGACUCAAUUUGUAAAUGAAGUCAAUUUGUAAAAUAUCACAGACUCCUUAUUUUUAUCCUUAUUUUCAGC
rnacentral:lncRNA from 10 species